rnacentral:lncRNA from 1 species
UGAGUACCCAACUCACUGUGGGGAGGCAAUGUGUAGCUUGUAUAAUUAAAUUGUAAACUACCUAGAGAGUGCUUUUAGCACUAGGGGGUGGUAUAUAAGUGGCACAGUUUGCUUACUUUAGGUUCCUGUUGAUUACAUUCCCAAAAGAGUUCCAAUAAGCUAUUUUGCUACUUUUUGUCAUAGAGAAUAGAGGCCAAAUUGUAGUAAAAGGUAAAACCAUGCAUAUAAGGGCAGUUAUUCUGUCACCCCUCCAUGUGAGCUGCCAUGAAACCAGUCACAUACCCAAUUUUGUAGCCUGUCUGAGAUCAGAUGUGUGAAUGUGAGCCUGCAGGAAAGAGGGAACAUUUUACCCAAUAACUCUUCCAUUAUUACUUAAGCAAACAGAAUUCUAGCCAUAGUUUUUCAGGAGGCUUCUGAAGACUGUGAAAUGGUUUAUUGAAGUCUUUUGUCAAUGAUGUGUUCUACUGAUAGUGUUACUCUUUUUCAUACUCUUUAUUUUGCAAAAAUUGGUAGAAAUUAGAAAUGCUGUUCUGUGCUGUCAAGUCAGCAUCAACUUAUAGCGAUGCUAACAAGAGUUUCAAGGUAAGUGAGAUAUUUAAGGAGUAGUUUUACCGGUUCUACUCCCCCAGUGAGUUUUUGAGACCAAGAAGGGAUUCAAACCUUGUUCUCCAGAGUUCUACUCCACUCUUUCCACUACAUCCAGAAAUUAUAAAUACUAUACCUUUUAUUAUUUCUUUGUGUUUUCAUAUUUACAGUUUGAUGUUUUUGUAUUCAUGUGUCUCUGUUGAUUAUUGUUCUUAUUUUUCUGUUGAUUAUUUUUCUGUAGUCUUGAGAGCCAGAUGGCUGGUAUACAAAUCAAAUAAGUAAAUUAAUUAAUCUUUCUGUUAGUAUUGCUUGCCACUCUUAAUGCAUUUUAAUAAACAAGGUGAGAUUAUCAAUAUUUUAAUUAAUCAAUAUGAUUUGAUAUAAUUAUGUGCUAUCAAGUCAACUCUGAUUUAUGGCAGCCAUUCCACGGUUUUCCAGGUAUAAAGUACUAAGAAGUAACACACCACUCCUUCCUUCUAGAGAUGUUUUGGAACUGUGGAACAUGCUCAAAGCCACACAACAGUGCCUGCAUUCCUUUAUUGGAAGAAAGUCAAGAUAUAAAGUGUUGUUUCAUCCCUCUCUUCUGACCCACUUACUGUGGCUAGCUGGACUGUCAGACAUACUGUACUCAGAAAUAAGUUCCACUGGACUUAGGGGGACUUUCUCCCAAGAAAGGAUGUAUAGAACUGCAGCCUAAGAAGCUUGAUUUAUAAUUUUUGAAUGUGUUAAACAUAAUAAACCAUUAUUUCUGUAAGUUAAUUGAACA